rnacentral:lncRNA from 1 species
CUUCAUUGUCCUGGAAAGGUAUAUAUAGAGAUGCCUGGCGCCUUGGUGUAGGCAAGUGUUGCUACAACAUGGGAGGACUACUUGACAAAGUGGAGUCGGAGUCGGAGUCGGAGUCGGAGUCGGAGUUGGAGUCGGAGUCGGAGUCGGAGUCGGAAAUUGAGAUAGAUAACAUCGAUUUGGAGGAAGAAGCCUCAAGCUCCACAGAAAGGAAGAGAAAUCAUUCUGAUCAGCCCAAUGGCUUGGACAGUGAGACGAUACAAAUCCUCAUGGGGAAGACUAAAAAGAAGAAUGAAAACAGGCCAACGGCAGAUGAAGAAACUCCAGAGGAUUCUUCCAACACUUAUCCUGACAAUCCUCCAAGUAAGCCCCUGUGCCCACCUGGAGCCCAAGAUGCUGAGGCAUCUACUGUAACUCCAGGAAAAGCAAAGGCAGAAUAGUCGUUUGUGCAGGGAUCAAACAUACAACGAUGGUCCCCUCUGGACAGACCAAAGUACGCAGAUGUUGAUGAUUAAAGUACCAACAAGCAGGAAA